UACGGGGGGGGCAAGCGUUGUUCGGAAUUACUGGGCGUAAAGGGCGCGUAGGCGGCCUGCUAAGUCGGAUGUGAAAUCCCUCGGCUCAACCAAGGAAGUGCAUCCGAAACUGCUGAGCUUGAGUACUUAAGAGGAUCGCGGAAUUCCCGGUGUAGAGGUGAAAUUCGUAGAUAUCGGGAGGAACACCAGUGGCGAAGGCGGCGAUCUGGGAAGAUACUGACGCUGAGGUGCGAAAGCGUGGGGAGCAAACAGG
rnacentral:rRNA from 1 species